AUUGAACGCUGGCGGCAUGCCUUACACAUGCAAGUCGAACGGCAGCGGGGGAGAAGCUUGCUUUUCCUGCCGGCGAGUGGCGAACGGGUGAGUAAUACAUCGGAACGUGCCCUGUAGUGGGGGAUAACUAGUCGAAAGAUUAGCUAAUACCGCAUACGACCUGAGGGUGAAAGUGGGGGACCGCGAGGCCUCAUGCUAUAGGCGCGACCGAUUUCUGAUUAGCUAGUUGGUGGGGUAAAGGCCUACCAAGGCGACGAUCAGUAGCUGGUCUGAGAGGACGAUCAGCCAAACUGGGACUGAGAAACGGCCCAGACUCCUACGGGAGGCAGAAGUGGGGAAUUUUGGAGAAUGGGCGAAAGCCUGAUCCAGCAAUGCCGCGUGUGUGAAGAAGGCCUUCGGGUUGUAAAGCACUUUUGUCCGGAAAGAAAUGGCUCUGGUUAAUACCUGGGGUCGAUGACGGUACCGGAAGAAUAAGGACCGGCUAACUACGUGCCAGCAGCCGCAGUAA
rnacentral:rRNA from 1 species